rnacentral:lncRNA from 10 species
AUGAAGACCGUUCCCAGCAACCAACCCAUGGAUAUUCCAGAAAAGGUCAACAUUACUCUAAAGGAACACACAGUUAUUGGGAAGGGCCUGAGAGGAACCCUGAGGAAGGACUGAGGAGAGACUUCAAUCACAUCAAUGUAGAACUCAGUCUCCUUGGAAAGGAAAAGAGGCUCCGGGUUGACAAACGGUGGGGAAACUGAAGGGAGCCGGCUGCCGUUGGGACUGUUCAUAGUCGUGUACGGAGCAUGGUCAAAGGGGUUGCCCUGGGUUCCAUUACAAGAUGACCUCUGUGGGUGCUCACUUCCCCAGAAACGUCGUUAUCCAGGAGAACGGGACUCUCGUUGAAAUCUGAAACAUCUUGGGUGGAAAAUCCAUCUGCAGGGUUCGGAUGAGGCCAGGUGUUGCUUAUUCAGUAUCUCAAGCCCAGAAUGUCGAAUUAAUCUUUGAAGGAAGCGACAUUGAGCUUGUUUCAGUCUUGUUCAAAUUCAGCUGCUCUGAUUCAGCAAGCAGCAAUAGUUAAAAACAAGGAUAUCAGAAAAUGUUGGGGUGCUGUCUACGUCUCCUAAAAAGGAACAGUUCCGCAGGCUGCUGAG